CCAAGGACAUCAAAGAAUCCUGCAACCAGACGCCCUCAUAGGUGAAGCCUCUCCCCGCCAGCUUUUGAUUUACACGCCAAAAUGACACAAGCGUCUGGUUUGGACCGCUGACAAACUCCCUUCAGUGUGUUCAUUAUGGAUGUUAAAAAGGCGGUGGAUUGGUGCAUUCGUCCUAGCCCACACUCAGAUUGUAUUCAGUGCUGCUAAAUCCGUGAGAGGUGGCGAACAAAUGUACGUGUCAGGAGAGAAUGGACGCUGGUUUGAUAGUCUGCCAACCUACAGGGUCCUACGCUCCACUCGUCAUGUUUGUCAGUGACUAAAAGGCAACGACUUUAUCCCUUUAGCAAACAGCUCUCAUGCCAGUAUGUCUGUAAUGCCAUCUCCUUUUAGCUGCAGACAUGGAGCAGUAUAGCUGCCUGACUUUAAUCCUUUUUUUGGCCCCAUUCUGUUCUGAACCUUCACAGAGCAGGAUGUACUCAGGCUAAAACAGUAUUGUCUGUGUUUCUCUUUUCAAGUUGGAGACAGGGAUUUCAGCAGAAGCCAGACAGAGAUGCUGGCUGUAGCCCAUAUAAACAGGAUUUGUUCAUUGGGUGGGCAAAUGUGUAACUUCUUUCACUGAGUCCACACUAUACAUAGAUUACUAUUUACAAGAAGGUUAAUGUUUCUGAAAGUUUUAUUCAAGUUUUUGUUCAUAUUGAGCUUUGAAUCAAGGUGUCAAGAUGUUUGACUCCUGAACUUUUGAGGUUCAGAGUGUGGAGGGUGCCGGUUUGGAUUAGAGGUUCAAGGGAUAUUCCGGUGUAAAAUUAAGUUGGGGUCAAACCCACCGUAACACCGAGUUAGACACCCCAUCGAGAGAUGAAUGUUGCAGACCACUUGCUUCUCUAGUUAUACCAACUUUAGUAACAACCACACAAUAGCAAUACACAGCAUUCUACCACUCCAUGUCCACACCUCAACCAAAAAGCCACUAUAGCCACAAAUAAUGCUCAGAACAGCACCUAACUUCAUCAACAGAACAUAAAGGGUCCCAGCCAUAGUACUAGCCAUCAAACAUCUUUUUUAGUUUUGCCUGAUUUCUUUAGCAAAGAGACUAAACACAACUCACCCCUCUCCUCCAGCAGUCGCUUGUUUGUACUUUUUUUUUGUUUGUUUGUUUGAUGAGUCGAUCACCGAGUGCAGCGGGGUGACACAGCUCAAGGAAGACCACGUCUCAAUGUCACAUUUUUUUGUAUAUUUAGCUGUCCUCUUUCAAGCAAAGGUUUGGAUUCAGCUGCAGGAAAAACCAUCAAAAAUUCAGUUGCUGUGGAGGAUCUGUAGCCUGUCAGUUUCUAACUUUAUUAUCCAUGAAGUGGGCCGAAUGGGCAGAGAUGCUAUGCUAAUGUGGCCCUGUGUCUGAAUGUUGUCUUAAGGAGGAAGGGUGCAAAGAGCUUGGGAAAUUUUAGAAGACUUCUUCUUCCAACCAGUUAGGAAGCGUAAUCAUGAGAACCUGCAGGAUGAAUCAUUGAGCAGCUCAAAGGAAACGUUUUUAACUUGUAUGAUUGUAGCUCUGAGAUGCAUAAUUGGACCCCUCUGAUUAUCUCGGCGGUAACACCACUACUAAAAUAAUUUUCUACAGCAAGAGCGCUUACAUGUAAAUCACUUAAUGUCAUAGAAUUCAUACGCUUUCACAUUUUGUGAAAUACUAGGCAUUAUCAUUGAUUUCCUGGCUUUCUUACCAGUCACCCACCUGUGUAAAACACUUGACUCUGAUUGGUCAAAAGGCCACAGCUGUUAAAUCUGAAUAGCAAAGUUCACACAAGGGUCAACCUGAUCACGCACAUUAUACAUGCUUCAAAUCUACCUGUAAAAAGGGAUUAUGGCACUGAUAAUGAGUCAACCUCCUACUGUUUAAAAUGUGACAGAUAUGUUACUUUGUGAUAAGAAUUAGAAAACAACAUGGUGAUUUUUUUAAUAAAACAGAAAUGAAGCAACAACAAAAAACCAAAACACAGUAUGAGUCUUGGCAGAGUUACAGGACUGUUUGGCUGAGAUGUAAAUGCUAACAGCAAAGUUAUGGGGGAAAGGAUCUUAAACUGGUGUUGCUGUUAUCUUCUGCACAAUAAAAAACGAAAAGGUUUUACUCAGAAUUAAGAUGUUAAGAUGAAUGUGAGUUUUAAAGUCAGUGGUUGUUAAAUUUCUGAUAAACGGGCAGACAUUUUUCCAUCAGGUGAAUAAGUUAAAAACUAUUUGAAAUAUCAUUUUGCUGUUUUGAAAAAGUACAUUAGUGGAACUUUUGUUCUCGGAUUGUCAUCCUCUCUGUCCCUGUCUCUCGCCCACUGUUCUCCACAGUCUCCGAUCCUCCACUUUUCCAUCUCUGACUCUUCCACGCAUUCAAACAUCACUCGUCUCCCACUAUCUGCACACUCACUCACUCACUCUCUCUCCUUUUAGUGGCUUUCAGGUUGUCAUCCAGCCUUUGAUGGAGCCUUUGAAAGCUGCUGAGGACCGCCAGCUCUCUCCCCCUCCACGUUAGUGUCGGCUAAAUCGGGCUCGGUGGCGGAGGCUGACUCGUCGCUCCUGGAGGGUGAGUGGGAGUCUGGAAGCUGAUCAGACAGCACGGCGCUCGGGGGCGGAGGAGCUGCCACCUCCAGCUACCUGGACGCUGAGGGGAGAUAGUGGUGCAUAUGGCAGCAAGCCCUAUGGUCUGACUCACAUGCAGGGAACAGACUUCAAUCAACCUCUGCUCUCUCCAUCAUUCUGCCCCUGAUUCUUUAUUGUUUUGAUCCCUAGCGUAAGAAAUCCUCCAUCCUGCUGGCUGAUAAACAUAUAAAGUUAAAUAAAGUGGAUUUAGGAGCCACAGUCUGUC